rnacentral:rRNA from 1 species
CAGCCGCCACGGUAAUACGAAGGGGGCUAGCGUUGCUCGGAAUUACUGGGCGUAAAGCGUGCGUAGGCGGUUCGUUAAGUCUGUUGUGAAAGCCCCGGGCUCAACCUGGGAAUGGCAAUGGAUACUGGCGAGCUAGAGUGUGUCAGAGGAUGGUGGAAUUCCCGGUGUAGCGGUGAAAUGCGUAGAGAUCGGGAGGAACAUCAGUGGCGAAGGCGGCCAUCUGGGACAACACUGACGCUGAGGCACGAAAGCGUGGGUAGCAAACAGGAUUAGAUACCCGAGUAGUCCCUGUCUCUUAUAC